CAGCAGCCGCGGGAAUACGUAGGGGGCAGGCGUUAUCCGGAAUUACUGGGUGUAAAGGGAGCGUAGACGGUUAAACAAGUCUGAAGUGAAAUGCCGGGGCUCAACCCCGGAGCUGCUUUGGGAACUGUAGAACUGGAGUGUCGGAGGGGUAAGCGGAAUUCCCAGUGUAGCGGUGAAAUGCGUAGAUAUUGGGAGGAACACCGGCGGCGAAGGCAGCUUACUGGACGACAACUGACGUUGAGGCUCGAAGGCGUGGGUAGCAAACAGGAUUAGAUACCCCUGUAGUCCCUGUCUCUUAUAA
rnacentral:rRNA from 1 species